rnacentral:rRNA from 1 species
GACGAGGGAUCCUAGCGUUGUUCGGAAUCAUUGGGCGUAAAGCGGGUGUAGGUUGCUUUGUAAGUCAUGCGUGAAAGCCCUGGGCUCAACCCAGGAACUGCGUGUGAUACUGCUUAGCUUGAGUGUUGGAGAGGCUAUUGGAAUACCUAGUGUAGUGGUGAAAUACGUAGAUAUUAGGUGGAACAUCAGAGGCGAAGGCGAGUAGCUGGCCAAACACUGACACUGAGACCCGAAAGCGUGGGGAUCAAACAGG